GUUUCAAAAUUUAAACAACAUACAUAUAAAAAGGAUAAUCUUUCUCUCUCUCUCUAAAACUCAUUUUCAAAAUUAUCCAAAAUUGAAUCCAUCUCUAAAAUUAAUCAAACAUGAUUCUAGCUCCAAAAUUGAAUCCAUCUCUCUCUAAAUCUCCUUCUCUUUCUUUCAGUCUCUCAAAAGCCCUGUAUUUACAGGUAUUACAUGCCACUGUGGUGAAGCAGCUUGAGAUAGCAGCCUUGAUGGAGAAUUUGCAGCAAUCCAAAUUUCAUUUUUCAGAUGCUCCAACAAGAUCAACAAAAGUCUUGAAAAACAACAGUUAGCAAUUCACAGGAGACCUGACAUUACUCAAGAAUUGGAAAAACUAAAAUGCCGAACGCUUAUAUUUGUUGGGGACAACUCUCUGUUCCAUUCUGAAGCCCUCCACAUGUCUGAAAAACUGGAUCGGAGAUUUAGUGCUUUAGUAGAGGUAUCAGGUUAAAGAUAAUCCUACCGGUGACUUCAAACGCAUGCACCGGCAUAUCUCUAAAGGGUCGUGGAACUUUUUGGAUCAAGAUCAUGCUUAAAAAUGAAUUCAGAUGAAAGAGAUGAAUAAAGUGGUGUGCAGGUGCAGGGAUGUGGAUACAUUAUCUUAAUUUAUUGUAUUUUUUACUUAAUAGUUGUUGAUUAUUUAUUAAAUAUGUUGUGCAUGUUAAAGACAAUCCUUCCGGUGACUUCAAAAGCAUGCACCGGCAUAUCUCUAAAAGGUCGUGGACCUUUUCGGAUCAAGAUCAUGCUUAAAAAUGAAUUCAGGCUAAGAUUCCUUCCUUCAUUUCUCUAAAUUAGGUUCAGUUUUAAUCAAAUUUGUAUCUUAUUUAUCGAUUUGGUAACGAUUUUAGUUUUGUAGAUGAAAGAGAUGAAUAAAGUGACCUCUGAUAUACUUUUUGAUGGCUCGUCGGAGACAAAGAGGAACGACAUAGCAUCCUUCGGUUUCAGAGGAUGAUUUCGCAUUCACUGUUGUAUGAUAUUAAACAAGAAUCCAUGAAAGAUUCCCAGCAGCUAAGAAACAAGAUUUAGAGGAGAAGAUGAUCAGGUUAUCAUCUAUGUUGAAAGAAAUAAGUUUCCUGUUUAAUCCGGUCGAGUUUAACUUCAUCCGUAAAAUAUAAUAGUCCAUCCGUUAGAAUUUGAUCUCCAUUAGGCCAAAAUAGUGUUUGAACAGGUUCAUCCGGUUGAGAAGGUCCAUUCGUUAGUUCAUUCGUCCGAAUUUGAGGUUCAUCCGGGUAAAAUUGAGUCCAUCCGCUCAGAUUAUACUCCAUUUGUAACACCCCGUGUUACCGAAAGUCAAAGUCAAAGUCAAGAUUGACUCCUUUGGCCGUAGUUAAUCUAUUUUGUGUUUAUGUUACGUUAGUUGUAUUAUGUGGAGUAAUUAAUUA